rnacentral:rRNA from 1 species
AGCGAACGCUGGCGGCAGGCCUAACACAUGCAAGUCGAACGAAGUCUUCGGACUCAGUGGCGGACGGGUGAGUAACACGUGGGAACGUGCCUUUAGGUUCGGAAUAACUCAGGGAAACUUGUGCUAAUACCGAAUGUGCCCUUCGGGGGAAAGAUUUAUCGCCUUUAGAGCGGCCCGCGUCUGAUUAGCUAGUUGGUGAGGUAAAGGCUCGACAAGGGUACGAUCAGUACCUGGUCUGAGAGGAUGACCAGCCACAUUGGGACUGAGACACGGCCCAAACUCCUACGGGAGGCAGCAGUGGGGAAUCUUGCGCAAUGGGCGAAAGCCUGACGCAGCCAUGCCGCGUGGAUGAUGAAGGUCUUAGGAUUGUAAAAUCCUUUCACCGGUGAAGAUAAUGACUGUAGCCGGAGAAGAAGCCCCGGCUAACUUCGUGCCAGCAGCCGCCGUAAAAC